GUUUACACCAUAUGCCUUAGCAGUGGUCUUAAAGUUUCAUUUCUUUGGGGGGGCUGGGUACAAGGAAAAUAAAUAAUUUUACUUCAAAUUACAACUGGUCAAUAUAUUUAAAAGGUCAGAGAACAUUAAAAACAUACCCAGUUAAAAGAGCCGCUGAGCUGGAAGGCACUGAUGCUAUCAAGACAAUACCUGAUGUACAUAGACUGAAGAUCAGAAUUUAGAAACAUUGAAAUGGAUGUCACCUGGCCAUGGAAACUACCUAUCUUGUUAAUCGUUACCUGC